AGUCGAGUGCGCGUACCGUAGCAAUACGGUAUGGCGCACGGCGCACGGGUGCGUAACACGUGGGUAAUCUGCCCUUCGAUGGGGAAUAACCUCGCGAAAGCGAGGCUAAUUCCGCAUAACAUUCCGGGGAUUUCGGUUCCUGGAUUCAAAGGCGUAAGUCGUCGAAGGAGGAGCCCGCGCACGAUUAGCUAGUUGGUAGGGUAAUGGCCUACCAAGGCUUUGAUCGUUAGCUGGUCUGAGAGGAUGGCCAGCCACACUGGAACUGAGACACGGUCCAGACUCCUACGGGAGGCAGCAGUGGGGAAUCUUGCACAAUGGGCGAAAGCCUGAUGCAGCGACGCCGCGUGGGGGAUGAAGCAUUUCGGUGUGUAAACCCCUUUCGACCCGGACGAAUGCCUCGCAAGAGGACUGACGGUACGGGUAUAAGAAGCCCCGGCUAACUACGUGCCAGCAGCCGCGGUAAGACGUAGGGGGCCAGCGUUGUUCGGAAUUACUGGGUGUAAAGGGUUCGUAGGCGGUGCGGCAAGUUGGGAGUGAAAUCUCUGGGCUCAACCCAGAGGCUGCUUCCAAAACUGCUGUGCUUGAGUGUGGGAGAGGUGCGUGGAAUUGCAGGUGUAGCGGUGAAAUGCGUAGAUAUCUGCAGGAACACCCGUGGCGA
rnacentral:rRNA from 1 species